rnacentral:lncRNA from 1 species
AUCCAUGAAUAAAAGACCCAAAGGGCUAGCUUCUACUUCUCCCAAAUCUGCAAACAAAUCUUCAGACCUGUUUGAAACCGACAAUGUCGGUUUAUAACUUUAGGAAGAAAACCCUUCAUUUAAUUUUGUACCAUCCAUUUUCUAACUGGUUAUCAAGAUCUUCAUUUUUCACAUCCAUGGGCAAUGGAAUUACAUUUUCUAUAUUGUUUUGGGUACCUUUGUGCCCUCUGGGACUGAGAAUUGGGUGAAGUUUUUGAAGCUGGGUAUUGUUCUUACAUGGUUGGGAUAUUGCGGAGCCAGCUAAAGCAUUUCUCUGUGUCGGCCAUGGAUGGUUGUACUCAGAAGUGUAGGUGAUGACCAAUAUAGUCGGGUCGGUCCGGCUCCAUUCGACUUGCUUUCUUGCUUAACAACCCUUUGAACUACUACAUCUAUAGACGCGCCCAUAGGCCUAGUCAGAGAGGAUCUUCUGGGUGACAGUAGUGACAGUAGAAUUGGAUCUUCAUCCGGGAUCCAAUGUCAUGGUAGCUGGGUUUGCCGAAGACGCGUAGGGGCUUGGGAUAAGAAAAAGGAGGAAGAAGAUGAAUGAAUUUUAUUUUUAUUUUUUGUUUUAGUUUUGAUUUUUUUUUAUAUAUUUGUGAUUAAUUUGCAAUUUUUUGAAAAUUUG